AGUGAACGCUGGCGGCAGGCCUAACACAUGCAAGUCGAACGGCAACACAGUAAGCGCUUGCUCUUACGGGUGGCGACUGGCGGACGGGUGAGGCAUACAUCACCAUCCACUUUUUCUUGGGGGACAUCGUAGGGCAGCUGACGCUACCACCGCAUACGUUCUACGGCUGAGAUCAGUGGAUCUUCGCACCUUGCCUGUUACUAUGAGCCGAUGUCGGAUUAGCUAGUUGGCGUGGUAAAGGCCCACCAAGGCAACGAUGCGUAGCUGGUCUGAGAGGGUGAUCAGCCACACUGGAACUGAGACACGGUCCAGACUCCUACGGGAGGCAGCAGUGGGGAAUAUUGGGCAAUGGGCGAAAGCCUGAUCCAGCAAUGCCGCGUGAGUGAAGAAGGCCUUCGGGUUGUAAAGCCCUGUUGUUGGGGAAGAAAAGAAGCGGGUUAAUACCCGGCUGUUCUGACGGUACCCAAAGAGAAAGCACCGGCUAACUUCGUG
rnacentral:rRNA from 1 species